AUCAGUGUAUACCAAGGCUUCUUUGCUGUCUAUGUUAAACGGUGGCCAAAUGAAAGUGGUGGGCUGCCUCUCCCGAGCGGCGGAGGCCAAACGACGGGUGACAGAGGGCCAGGACAUGCUGACCUCCAUGACCCAGAUGGUGGCCUGCACCCAGGAUAUCCAGCAGAGAUACCGCAGCAUCCUGGGGCCACUGUCCCUCUUCUUUCAGUCCAACCCCGAGGGAGAGAAGAGGUUAGGGUCCAGGAGGAGAGGCCAGUGUCCCCGUCGGUGUCAGAGGGGGUGAAGACCAACCCCACCUCUCUGGCCGACGUGUCAGCAGCUGCAGUACAGGAUCCAGGAGCAUACCGUGCUCCACUCCACCCCUGUGGAGGAUCAGCAAGCUCUGGCGGCGGUAAUGACGUCAGAGCUGGGCCUGAUCUGGCAGGACCUGAAGGGGCUGAUGGACGAGCCCACGCUGAACCAGGAGGAGAACAGGCAGGUGGAGACGUGCCAGGAGGUGCUCCGCAUCUGCCAGGAGCUCUACCUCAACUAUCUCUACCUGCUGGACAGUCUGAGGCGCCACGCCAUCUUCAGCGACCAGGCCAACCGCAGCCGCCUGGGGGCCCAGAUGGCCAUAGACUGCACCAGCCUAAACAGGAAGAGGAAGGGGAGAAGAGGGAGAGGUACAGGGUGCCAGUGGAGGAACCGGAGCACCCACAGGGAGCUGUGGUGAACGUGGCCCUGUCCCACGGCUCUCUAGCCAGCACAGCCGCCGCCCGCGUCUCAGACAGGGUUCUCCGCGACACCAUCAACAUCCACACGUACCCACCCGUCUACAACUACCUCACCAAAGAGCUUGAACUCUCCUCAGUGCAAUGGCUGGAUCGUAACCUGUUUGCCGUGGAAGAAAUAAAGGAAGUCUAUAAGGAGUUAUCCAAAAGUAAAUCUACACAGUAUCUCAACUUCGAUGAGGUGAGAUAUACUCUUUUACAUUGUCUGUUGAAUUUAUUUAAUUCAGGAAAAAUCCAGUCUUGA
rnacentral:lncRNA from 8 species